UACGGGGGGGGCAAGCGUUGUUCGGAAUUACUGGGCGUAAAGGGCUCGUAGGUGGCCAACUAAGUCAGACGUGAAAUCCCUCGGCUUAACCGGGGAACUGCGUCUGAUACUGGAUGGCUUGAGUUUGGGAGAGGGACGCGGAAUUCCAGGUGUAGCGGUGAAAUUCGUAGAUAUCGAGAGGAACACCGGUGGCGAAGGCGGCCUUCUGGACAGUGACUGACGCUGAGACGCGAAAGCGUGGGGAGCAAACAGG
rnacentral:rRNA from 1 species